AAGCUACUUGCCUAGAUGAUGAUCAGCUUGAGUGUAGAGUAGCUUGAAUGUAGAUCAAGUUGUCUCUGAUGAUAGAAGCUUUAUUUCGGCUCAAACAUUCUUCAAGUGUAGGUUCUUCAACAGCUACAAGCUCUCCAUGAUCAGGUUCAUGAUUCCAUUCCUUGGUGCUUUCCAUGAUCACAUCAUCCCCUCCCACUUCAAAAAGAUUUGUCCUCAAAUCUGUGUUACCUGCAAUAGAAGGGACCAAGUCAGUAACAUCAGAGUUUAUAAUCAGAUUACACUUACCUUGCAAGCCUCUUUGAUAGGCAUUGUCGCUGACUGGUUCUAUUAGGUAGAAGGGACUGAUCCAUUUGGGUAUCCUCACUCCUGAGGCAUUACUUAAACCUGAUACAUUGAAACAAGACAAGUUAACACAAGCAAAAUCAUCAUAGAGUAAGAGUCUUAUCCCAAAGUUGUCUUUUCUCGGUUUUGGCUUGUAUGUUGCAUCUGGAGGUGCUUCUUUGAUGAGGAUGAAGCAAGUGACGUCCUGAUGUCUCUCCUGGCUUAGAUCAGGCGGCUUGAAACGUUUGUCUUCCUCACGCUUGUUCUUUGUCUUUGCAUGCUUCAAAGCUUCCAUAUAAUCUGCACAUGACUCUUUUGACAAAAACAAGUGCAUCAUAUCUGUGUAAUCAAUAAAGGAACUCUUGAAAACAUGAUUGGUUACCUUAGCAUGCUCACCUGGUCGCCAUAUAUAGGAUUGAGAUGUUCUAUACUCAGAAAAAUUCAAACAAAGCAAACACAGAAUCACCCGUCUUGUAGAACCCAUAACUCUUUCAUUUGAGAAGCUUUGGACAUGAUUCCAGUUCGACGUGAGACCCUGAUGAGUGUAGUUUCCAUUGCAGUUGAGUUUGUUGCUUAAUUCCUUCUGGUUGCUGAGAUAUGAUCCUCGGACUGCUCCUAUGUCAAAGUUGGCGGCUAGACAGCUUCCAAGAUUUGAUUGUUGCAUCUCCAAUUUAGCCAAGGAUCCAUUCUUGAUACUCUGAUCAUUAUUAUAGCCUCUCUUUUCGAAAAUUCUAGUACUCAGAACUGUUUUAACUUUUAAUCUAGUGAAAUCUCCAUCUCCACUCUUGGUUUGACAAUCUCUGAAAUGGUAUUGAAGCUUUUGCAAAUCUGGUGGCUUCCACACCUUAACAUGAUCAAGAAGCAAGGCAUUUUGAUCAGCUUCCAACCCUUUAUUACCCCAACUGGUUCUACUACGAGCAGAGCACUCUCCAAGGAUGAUAAGUAUGCUGGAAUAUGCUCCAGUUUUCCACAAGUAGAACUGUAACCUUCCACCCCAAUCUGAUAUAAGCAGCUCACAGAAUUUGGCUAAACCGAUAUGUUUUGCGGAAUUGACAAUAUCUUGAUGAUCAGGAGGCCAUUUGCUGCGUUUUCUGGUUUGUUGGAUCCAGGAAAUAGUGGGUAACAUUCUCCAAUUGGUUUCGUAUUGAAACUCUUGCUGAGCUGAGACGUGAAUCCCUUUAGCUUCAGAGGGUAAAAGAUCACCAAAAACAAUUGUUGUUGCGGCCGAUUUCUUCUCAAUCACUAAGGGAUUGUUCCUGUGAUUCCACAACUCUCCUCCAGGCUCAAAUACAACAUGUUCCAUGCCCAGUUGGUGUCUUGAAAGCUCUACUGCUCUGGUCUUGUUCCACACAAAAGGACUGAUGAGAAAAGUACCCAAGAAUGUCCUUUGGAAACCGUUUGAAUCAGUGACAAAUAGAUGCUCUACUCCACUGUCUGAUUUUGAUUCCAUGGGUGCCUCCUCUUCUAUUACAUCCUGUUUGAAGAGAAUCAGGUCGUCCUUGAUGGGUUGAUCAUCUUUCUGAAUGGUGAUUGUUGGAAUCUCGGUUUGAUCUUCUUGAACUAGUGCAGCCAAGUCUGAUUGUGCAACUGAGUCUGGUUCUGCAUCUUUGAGUUCUGAGACAGUUGAGGAAGGCGCUUGGUUCUGUACUUUUAAGGAUGGAGAUAUAGUCUUGGACUGUUUAAGUUGUUUCUCCACAUCCCUAAACGCUUGUGAAAUUGCCUUCCUUAUGCUAUCUUCAAAGGAAUGGGUUGAUGUUUUGCUUGAUGAAACCAGGUUACUAGAUGGACUUGAUCUCUUGCUGUCUGGUUGUUUCUGCACUGAUAAUGAAGAACAUAGCUUUGUCUCAGGCUGCUUUUGAAUAACUUCCUUGUGGUACUGUCUUGGAACGUACUCUCUACGCAUCAAAGCCCUCAGCUUAAGCCAUGUUUCCACUGGUUCUUUUCCAUCAAGUCUUCUGCACUUUAUCAACUGAUUCCACCAUCUUAAAGCAUGACCACAAAACUCAGCAGUAGCCAUUUGAAUCUUCUUUCUUUCAGCAUAGUGUUGACUACUGAAAAUCAACUCAAUCUUCUUUUCCCACUUCACAUAAGCUUCAGGAUCCGCCUUGCCUUGGAAUGGAGGGAUUUGAAAUUCAUAUCCAGCAUGCUUCCGGUUCCUGCUAAACUGAUCAAACUCUUUUUGCCUGUACUCAUCUCUGGUUGAUUUUGAGCAUUCUCUAUUUUUCUUUGGCUGAUGUUUUCCUUUGUGCUCCUUCUCCAUUGGUACCUGAGACACAAAUAAAACAGAAACCAGUAACUAGUUCUAAGAGAAACAACACUCAGAAUUAAUAACAGAUCAAUUUUAAAACGACAAGCAAAUCAAAUAAAACAGUUUGAUAAUCAGAACAAUUCACCAACGCAAUAUGAUCGAUCAAUCUUAAACAGAGACAGAUUAAAUUCGAAAUCUAAUUAACCAAACAAGAUAGAUUAUAUUCAAAGCAAUAAGAACAGAUAGGAAUCACACAAAUCCAAAACAGAAACAGAUCAAGCAAAUCGAUUACUUCUGCAACAUGAAUGUGAAAAGUUUUUAUCAGAAAUGAGAUCAACAAGCUUGAAUCUAUUAAAACUCAACAACACAAUCAUAGAUCAAUCAAAACUAGUGAGAAUAAGAAUAGAUCGACAGGUUUUUAGCAAACACAAACGGAUUUAUCAGAUUUAAACACUAAGAACACAGAUCAGAUCAAACUCGACAGAAUAUGAACAGACCCAAACGAAAAUCAGAGAGAAAAAUCGAACACUUCCCUUCCAGAGUUGCUCUGAUACCACUUGAUGAGAUCCUAGGAUGAUGCUCUGGAACAGAUGGGAUAAUCCUUGCAGAAACGAAUCAAAAGACUCAAGCUUCUCAAGGUAUGUGGAUCGAAUGGUGACACAAGAGGCUGCGGAAAGGCUCCUUGAUACUCCUAGGCAAUAGAUCGGAUAUGACACACCAAACUAGAGCCCUUAGUCUCUGGAUAUUACACACCAGAAGUUGGAUAUUACACACCAACACUCAAUCAACUCGACAAGCAAGAAGAAAAGAGAAAACAAAGGUUUUAGAUAAAAAGAUGGAUACUGAUACAAGGGGGCCACGACCACAAUAUAAAGGAGAAGCCUUGUACAUGCACAAGGUCUCGAAAAUACAAGGAAAAUAAAGACAAGGCUCCCUUGGAAACACAACAAAGACUAGAGUUUUCGAAAAUAAAAACAUAGCAUAAAAACUUAGAUAAAAUUAUAUAACAUAAGGUCUUCAUGUGGACAGACCAAGAUCAAGCAUCUAGGAGGUAAGAGAAGUAACUUGUGGCCUCAUUAAAAACCUUGAUUGGAAAACCCAGUGGGACAAAACCAAUCAAGGGAAAAAAGAGUACACACAAGCUACUUGCCUAGAUGAUGAUCAGCUUGAGUGUAGAGUAGCUUGAAUGUAGAUCAAGUUGUCUCUGAUGAUAGAAGCUUUAUUUCGGCUCAAACAUUCUUCAAGUGUAGGUUCUUCAACAGCUACAAGCUCUCCAUGAUCAGGUUCAUGAUUCCAUUCCUUGGUGCUUUCCAUGAUCACAUCAUCCCCUCCCACUUCAAAAAGAUUUGUCCUCAAAUCUGUGUUACCUGCAAUAGA
rnacentral:lncRNA from 1 species